UACGUAGGGAGCAAGCGUUGUCCGGAAUCAUUGGGCGUAAAGCGCGCGUAGGUGGCUUCGUAAGUCCGUUGUGAAAGUCAAAGGCUCAACCUUUGAAAGCCGAUGGAUACUGCGGAGCUAGAGUACGGAAGAGGCGAGUGGAAUUCCUGGUGUAGCGGUGGAAUGCGCAGAUAUCAGGAGGAGGGCCAAUAGCGAAGGCAGGUCUCUGGGCAUUAACUGACGCUGAGGAGCGAAAGCAUGGGGAGCGAACAGG
rnacentral:rRNA from 1 species